UGUGUGUGAGUGUGUAUGUGUUUAAUUUGUAAUGAAGACUUACAGACAGGUGCAAACUGUAAAUCUCUUUUGCAACCCAGAACUCACUGCUGUGUAUGAGUUUGGGUAUGUGUAAGAAGGCAUAUG